AGCGAGGAUCCGUGUGCAACUUUCACAAAGUUGCCAAAUAAUAACAGAAUCGCGGGAUCAUGGGGUUUAAUGGUUUGGCCCUGCUUGGGGCGGCCGCAAGGAAGCGGCUCCGGCCCCGCUCACUGCUGCCGCCGGGAGCCAGAGGAGCGGCGUGCCUGGCCGGUGCCACCGGGAAGAGGGAGAGGGGCGUCCCUGGCUGCUGCGGCCGGGAAGAGGGAGAGGGGCGUCCCUGGCUGCUGUGGCCGGGAAGAGAGAGAGUGACGUCCCUGACUGCUGCCGCCGGGAAGAGGGAGAAGGGCGUCCCUGACUGCUGCCGCCGGGAAGAGGGAGAGGGGCGUCCCUGACUGCUGCCACUGAGAGGAUUCUCUAAUAGGAACAACAAUUGCCAUUGUCCUCCACUUCAUUGAGUUCCGGCAUAAGGGAGUUGGCUGCUGGUGGGAAACUGACAGUCAGACCCCACUCCAUAGAAGCCUCUCCUGAUCCUGCUGCAGCAGACUCCAGCUUUUGGUAUCACGGGUGCCAGCUGCAUGGGAAGCCAAACUGUCAUACCAUCUUCUCACCAAGACUUCAGUGGGGGGGGCAGAAGCACCAUUAGAGCCUAAUGAAAAAGCAAACACAAAAGUAAAGAUUUUAACAGUGGGGGCUUUUUCCUCCUUAAAAUCCCACCAGAGAGACACCACUGCACGUGAUACUUCAUUUGUAGGGGGUUUUUGCAGGCAAGAGCACAACAUGAACAAGGUAGUUUUAUGUGGCUUUUUUAGGCAUCAUACCAUGUCCAGGUAGCCCAGCAAAUUGCAACUCUCUACAAUUGCAUUCGCAACAACUCUGUCAAUAUCCACAGUGCUCACACCUGUGCCUUCAAAACACUGAUAUUGUAGAAUACUGCAUGCUUUCCUUCCAAAGAUCUCUUACAUACUCUGCUAAUAUGAUGCUUUUGGAUGAACAGUUGUAAGCAUAUUUUUGUGUUUCUAAACUCAAUCUACUCUUCAGGAUCAAUAUGAACACAUGGUGGCCACAAGUUACUCCUCGACCAGGUUCCAAGAUCUCCCUGAAUGAUGCACUCCUUCAUGACCCUCUCCACUGAUCUACCACUGCUUCUUUUGGGGCCAAAUGCUGCUCUCCAUAUGAAGAGAAAUCAGAAAAAUACUAAUAGGCGACCUCUUCCAGUAAUAAAUUACCCUUCAAUCCCUGCAUAAUCUCUGUGCCAGGUGGAAGGCUUCAAGAUGUUGUUCAUACCUGUGCUUGGAUCAGACUGUACUUGCUAAAAAGGUGCAAAAUGAUUGCACGUGGGAGUUGACAACUACUCUUGCCCAUACACAAUGUGGCACAACCAACAUUUAGUAUCAUCUUCCAGAUUUUCUGUUAGUAGUUAAGGCCAAGUGAAAUAAUUUAUUUCUCAGUAGAUUAUAAAACAAUUUGCAGAUUGCAUUUUUGCGCUGAAAUUGCACCUGCAAUUAUUACUGAGUAAAAGUAUAAAGCUAUUGUGCUCAUAAAGAAAUUUAUGUAAAAGGGAGAAAAACUGAGAAUGCCAUAAGGUUCUCCAUUUUCUUCUGGAAGGAGAAAACUGGUACAUACAGAGGGAAUAUGAUCAGGACUUUGGAUCCAACACGUCCUUUAAACCAGCAACAGUUAAAAAGUACUGGGGCUCCAGACCCCUCUGGAUGAACAGCAGCACAAGUGACUUAAAAAACACACUGGCAAAGCCUCUCCUGCUGUCAUGGUGAGCAGCACACAGAGCCCUUUGGAAAGCAGCACAAAA